GUACCCAAGAUUGAGGUUGAGACUCAUAAAGUAGGUUCUCCUGAUGUUGUGGUCCCUACUCUUGAUACAGUGAGGCAUGAGAGUCUCCUUUAUACAUGUUUGGUGGAGCAUAAGCUGAUGGUACUAAGUGGUCCACCUGGCUCUGGUAAAACCAUGACACUGUUCUCUGCUCUUCAUGCUCUACCUGAUUUUUAAGUUGUUGGUCUUAAUUUCUCCUCAGCGACUACUCCCGAGUUAUUAUUAAAGAUGUUUGAUCAUUACUGUGAGUACAAGAGGACUCCCAAUGGAGUCGUGAUGGCUCCUGCUCAACUUGGAAAGUGGCUGGUUCUUUUCUGUGACAAGAUUAACCUUCCAGACCUUGACAAAUAUGGUACACAGAGAGUAAUAUUGUUCUUACGUCAGAUUGUCGAGCACAGCAGAUUUUACAGGACCUCCAACCACACAUAGGUGACAAUAGAGAGGAUACAGUUUGUUGGAGCAUGUAACCCACUGACUGACCCAGGGAGGAAACCACUGUCACAGGAUUAUCUACCAGUAGAUCAGGAAGAAUUACGUGAUUAUGUACAGGCCAGAUUAGAGGUUUUUAAUGAGGAAGAGCUAGACGUUCUUCUUGUUCCCUUUAAUGAACUCCUUGAUCAUGUCCUUCGUAUUGACAGAAUCUUCAAACAGCAUCAGAUAGGGUCUCAGUGGAGCUGGUGGUAAGACCAUACUGUCUAGGUCUGUGGCUUGGAUCAACGGACUAUUUCAAAUAAAAGUUCAUAAUAAAUACACUCCUGAUGAUUUUAAUGAUGAUCUAUAUACAGUGCUAAGACAGUCUGGCUGUCGCAAUGAGAAGAUUGUAUUCAUAAUGGAUGAGUCUAAUGUCCUCAAUUUAGGAUUCUUGGAAAGAAUGAACAGACUACUAGCCAAUGGAGAGGUAAGAGA